UACGGGAGGCUGCAGUAGGGAAUCUUCCACAAUGGGCGAAAGCCUGAUGGAGCAACGCCGCGUGUGUGAUGAAGGCUUUCGGGUCGUAAAGCACUGUUGUAUGGGAAGAAAAGUUAAGGUAGGGAAUGACCUUAGCCUGACGGUACCAUACCAGAAAGGGACGGCUAAAUACGUGCCAGCAGCCGCGGUAAUACGUAUGUCCCGAGCGUUAUCCGGAUUUAUUGGGCGUAAAGCGAGCGCAGACGGUUGGUUAAGUCUGAUGUGAAAGCCCGGAGCUCAACUCCGGAAAGGCAUUGGAAACUGGUUAACUUGAGUGCAGUAGAGGUAAGUGGAACUCCAUGUGUAGCGGUGGAAUGCGUAGAUAUAUGGAAGAACACCAGCGGCGAAGGCGGCUUACUGGACUGUAACUGACGUUGAGGCUCGAAAGUGUGGGUAGCAAACAGGAUUAGAUACCCUGGUAGUCCACACCGUAAACGAUGAACACUAGGUGUUAGGAGGUUUCCGCCUCUUAGUGCCGAAGCUAACGCAUUAAGUGUUCCGCCUGGGGAGUACGACCGCAAGGUUGAAACUCAAAGGAAUUGACGGGGACCCGCACAAGCGGUGGAGCAUGUGGUUUAAUUCGAAGCAACGCGAAGAACCUUACCAGGUCUUGACAUCCUUUGAAGCUUUUAGAAAUAGAAGUGUUCUCUUCGGAGACAAAGUGACAGGUGGUGCAUGGUCGUCGUCAGCUCGUGUCGUGAGAUGUUGGGUUAAGUCCCGCAACGAGCGCAACCCUUAUUGUUAGUUGCCAGCAUUCAGAUGGGCACUCUAGCGAGACUGCCGGUGACAAACCGGAGGAAGGCGGGGACGACGUCAGAUCAUCAUGCCCCUUAUGACCUGGGCUACACACGUGCUACAAUGGCGUAUACAACGAGUUGCCAACCUGCGAAGGUGAGCUAAUCUCUUAAAGUACGUCUCAGUUCGGACUGCAGUCUGCAACUCGACUGCACGAAGUCGGAAUCGCUAGUAAUCGCGGAUCAGCACGCCGCGGUGAAUACGUUCCCGGGUCUUGUACACACCGCCCGUCACACCAUGGAAGUUUGUAAUGCCCAAAGCCGGUGGCCUAACCGUAAGGAGGGAACCGUCUAAGGCAGAC
rnacentral:rRNA from 1 species